rnacentral:lncRNA from 1 species
GUGACUUGUAACUUAUCAUCGAUCAAGUAUGAGAUGAAUAUGAGGCAUACGAGCCCAGCAUGAUUGGAUAUCUACAAAGGAUCAAGGAUCUUUCCCUGGUUUUCAUGACUCUUGACAUCUGAGGUCCAAAAACACCAAGGCUUGCUGUCAAAGCUCGCCACAUUGGGAGUUAUCAAUCUCAAGAAAAGUUCUUACUUCAAGGUU